GGGACACGUGGUAUCCUGUCUGAAUAUGGGGGGACCAUCCUCCAAGGCUAAAUACUCCUGACUGACCGAUAGUGAACCAGUACCGUGAGGGAAAGGCGAAAAGAACCCCGGCGAGGGGAGUGAAAAAGAACCUGAAACCGUGUACGUACAAGCAGUGGGAGCACGCUUAGGCGUGUGACUGCGUACCUUUUGUAUAAUGGGUCAGCGACUUAUAUUCUGUAGCAAGGUUAACCGAAUAGGGGAGCCGAAGGGAAACCGAGUCUUAACUGGGCGUUAAGUUGCAGGGUAUAGACCCGAAACCCGGUGAUCUAGCCAUGGGCAGGUUGAAGGUUGGGUAACACUAACUGGAGGACCGAACCGACUAAUGUUGAAAAAUUAGCGGAUGACUUGUGGCUGGGGGUGAAAGGCCAAUCAAACCGGGAGAUAGCUGGUUCUCCCCGAAAGCUAUUUAGGUAGCGCCUCGUGAAUUCAUCUCCGGGGGUAGAGCACUGUUUCGGCAAGGGGGUCAUCCCGACUUACCAACCCGAUGCAAACUGCGAAUACCGGAGAAUGUUAUCACGGGAGACACACGGCGGGUGCUAACGUCCGUCGUGAAGAGGGAAACAACCCAGACCGCCAGCUAAGGUCCCAAAGUCAUGGUUAAGUGGGAAACGAUGUGGGAAGGCCCAGACAGCCAGGAUGUUGGCUUAGAAGCAGCCAUCAUUUAAAGAAAGCGUAAUAGCUCACUGGUCGAGUCGGCCUGCGCGGAAGAUGUAACGGGGCUAAACCAUGCACCGAAGCUGCGGCAGCGACGCUUAUGCGUUGUUGGGUAGGGGAGCGUUCUGUAAGCCUGCGAAGGUGUGCUGUGAGGCAUGCUGGAGGUAUCAGAAGUGCGAAUGCUGACAUAAGUAACGAUAAAGCGGGUGAAAAGCCCGCUCGCCGGAAGACCAAGGGUUCCUGUCCAACGUUAAUCGGGGCAGGGUGAGUCGACCCCUAAGGCGAGGCCGAAAGGCGUAGUCGAUGGGAAACAGGUUAAUAUUCCUGUACUUGGUGUUACUGCGAAGGGGGGACGGAGAAGGCUAUGUUGGCCGGGCGACGGUUGUCCCGGUUUAAGCGUGUAGGCUGGUUUUCCAGGCAAAUCCGGAAAAUCAAGGCUGAGGCGUGAUGACGAGGCACUACGGUGCUGAAGCAACAAAUGCCCUGCUUCCAGGAAAAGCCUCUAAGCAUCAGGUAACAUCAAAUCGUACCCCAAACCGACACAGGUGGUCAGGUAGAGAAUACCAAGGCGCUUGAGAGAACUCGGGUGAAGGAACUAGGCAAAAUGGUGCCGUAACUUCGGGAGAAGGCACGCUGAUAUGUAGGUGAAGUCCCUCGCGGAUGGAGCUGAAAUCAGUCGAAGAUACCAGCUGGCUGCAACUGUUUAUUAAAAACACAGCACUGUGCAAACACGAAAGUGGACGUAUACGGUGUGACGCCUGCCCGGUGCCGGAAGGUUAAUUGAUGGGGUUAGCGCAAGCGAAGCUCUUGAUCGAAGCCCCGGUAAACGGCGGCCGUAACUAUAACGGUCCUAAGGUAGCGAAAUUCCUUGUCGGGUAAGUUCCGACCUGCACGAAUGGCGUAAUGAUGGCCAGGCUGUCUCCACCCGAGACUCAGUGAAAUUGAACUCGCUGUGAAGAUGCAGUGUACCCGCGGCAAGACGGAAAGACCCCGUGAACCUUUACUAUAGCUUGACACUGAACAUUGAGCCUUGAUGUGUAGGAUAGGUGGGAGGCUUUGAAGUGUGGACGCCAGUCUGCAUGGAGCCGACCUUGAAAUACCACCCUUUAAUGUUUGAUGUUCUAACGUGGACCCGUAAUCCGGGUUGCGGACAGUGUCUGGUGGGUAGUUUGACUGGGGCGGUCUCCUCCUAAAGAGUAACGGAGGAGCACGAAGGUUGGCUAAUCCUGGUCGGACAUCAGGAGGUUAGUGCAAUGGCAUAAGCCAGCUUGACUGCGAGCGUGACGGCGCGAGCAGGUGCGAAAGCAGGUCAUAGUGAUCCGGUGGUUCUGAAUGGAAGGGCCAUCGCUCAACGGAUAAAAGGUACUCCGGGGAUAACAGGCUGAUACCGCCCAAGAGUUCAUAUCGACGGCGGUGUUUGGCACCUCGAUGUCGGCUCAUCACAUCCUGGGGCUGAAGUAGGUCCCAAGGGUAUGGCUGUUCGCCAUUUAAAGUGGUACGCGAGCUGGGUUUAGAACGUCGUGAGACAGUUCGGUCCCUAUCUGCCGUGGGCGCUGGAGAACUGAGGGGGGCUGCUCCUAGUACGAGAGGACCGGAGUGGACGCAUCACUGGUGUUCGGGUUGUCAUGCCAAUGGCACUGCCCGGUAGCUAAAUGCGGAAGAGAUAAGUGCUGAA
rnacentral:rRNA from 1 species